rnacentral:rRNA from 1 species
AUUACAACGGAGAGUUUGAUCCUGGCUCAGGAUGAACGCUAGCGGGAGGCUUAACACAUGCAAGCCGAG